GAUUCGUCACACUAUCAUUAACUGAAUCCAUAGGUUAAUGAGGCGAACCGGGGGAACUGAAACAUCUAAGUACCCCGAGGAAAAGAAAUCAACCGAGAUUCCCCCAGUAGCGGCGAGCGAACGGGGAGGAGCCCAGAGCCUGAAUCAGCAUGUGUGUUAGUGGAAGCGUCUGGAAAGGCGCGCGAUACAGGGUGACAGCCCCGUACACAAAAGCGCAUGUGCUGUGAGCUCGAUGAGUAGGGCGGGACACGUGGUAUCCUGUCUGAAUAUGGGGGGACCAUCCUCCAAGGCUAAAUACUCCUGACUGACCGAUAGUGAACCAGUACCGUGAGGGAAAGGCGAAAAGAACCCCGGCGAGGGGAGUGAAAAAGAACCUGAAACCGUGUACGUACAAGCAGUGGGAGCCCCACCACUAAGCCAGUGGUGAACUCCACAUCCGCAUCCUUUGCUGAGGAUACGGUUAACGGAGCGAAAGCGACGUUCAACCGCAAAACAAGCAGAGGGGGCUUAGUGGUGGGGUGACUGCGUACCUUUUGUAUAAUGGGUCAGCGACUUAUAUUCUGUAGCAAGGUUAACCGUAUAGGGGAGCCGGAGGGAAACCGAGUCUUAAUUGGGCGUUAAGUUGCAGGGUAUAGACCCGAAACCCGGUGAUCUAGCCAUGGGCAGGUUGAAGGUUGGGUAACACUAACUGGAGGACCGAACCGACUAAUGUUGAAAAAUUAGCGGAUGACCUGUGGCUGGGGGUGAAAGGCCAAUCAAACCGGGAGAUAGCUGGUUCUCCCCGAAAGCUAUUUAGGUAGCGCCUCGUGAAUUCAUCUCCGGGGGUAGAGCACUGUUUCGGCUAGGGGGCCAUCCCGGCUUACCAACCCGAUGCAAACUGCGAAUACCGGAGAAUGUUAUCACGGGAGACACACGGCGGGUGCUAACGUCCGUCGUGAAGAGGGAAACAACCCAGACCGCCAGCUAAGGUCCCAAAGUCAUGGUUAAGUGGGAAACGAUGUGGGAAGGCCCAGACAGCCAGGAUGUUGGCUUAGAAGCAGCCAUCAUUUAAAGAAAGCGUAAUAGCUCACUGGUCGAGUCGGCCUGCGCGGAAGAUGUAACGGGGCUAAACCAUGCACCGAAGCUGCGGCAGCGAACGUAUCACCCAAGACAACUUUACGGAGUUGACGAUUGACGGAGCGAAGCGACGUCAAAGCGUUCAUUAAAGUCGAGUUGGCUUAGGGAUACGUUCGUUGGGUAGGGGAGCGUUCUGUAAGCCUGUGAAGGUGUGUCGUGAGGCAUGCUGGAGGUAUCAGAAGUGCGAAUGCUGACAUAAGUAACGAUAAAGCGGGUGAAAAGCCCGCUCGCCGGAAGACCAAGGGUUCCUGUCCAACGUUAAUCGGGGCAGGGUGAGUCGACCCCUAAGGCGAGGCCGAAAGGCGUAGUCGAUGGGAAACGGGUUAAUAUUCCCGUACUUGGUGUUACUGCGAAGGGGGGACGGAGAAGGCUAUGUUGGCCGGGCGACGGUUGUCCCGGUUUAAGCGUGUAGGUGUGUGUUCCAGGUAAAUCCGGUUCACUUUAACACUGAGGCGUGACGACGAGGCACUACGGUGCUGAAGCAACAAAUGCCCUGCUUCCAGGAAAA
rnacentral:rRNA from 1 species